rnacentral:tRNA from 1 species
GGCCUCAUAGCUCAGCUGGUAGAGCAUGCGCGAAAAAAGCGUAGGCGGCGUCCAUGCGUGGGUUCGAAUCCUACCGAAGCUA